GACGAAGGUGGCGAGCGUUACUCGGAAUUACUAGGCGUAAAGCGUGGGCAGGUGGCGCGGUCAGUCUGUUGUGAAAGCCUUGGGCUUAACCCAGGGAGGCCAAUGGAUACUACCGCGCUUGAAUGUGGGAGGGGUGACUGGAAUUCCCGGUGUAGCGGUGAAAUGCGUAGAGAUCGGGAGGAACACCAAUGGCGAAAGCAGGUCACUGGACCACUAUUGACACUCAGCCACGAAAGCUGGGGGAUCAAACAGG
rnacentral:misc_RNA from 1 species